rnacentral:rRNA from 1 species
UACGAAGGGUGCAAGCGUUACUCGGAAUCACUGGGCGUAAAGCGUGCGUAGGCGGUUUCUUAAGUCUGUCGUGAAAGCCCUGGGCUCAACCUGGGAACGGCGAUGGAUACUGGGAAGCUAGAAUGUGAGAGAGGAUGGUGGAAUUCCCGGUGUAGCGGUGAAAUGCGUAGAGAUCGGGAGGAACACCUGCGGCGAAGGCGGGUUGCUGGGCCGACACUGACGCUGAUGCGCGAAAGCUAGGGGAGCGAACGGGG